GUGCUAGCCAUAGGUUCCUGGCCCUGUUUGGGGGCCUGUGGAUUCCUCAGCCACUGCCUAACACAGCUGAGAGCUGCGCCAGGCUCUUAGGAGUGAAAAGGAAGCACUCCUCAGAGGCACACCCGCUGCGCCUUUUCCCAGGCGGCUUCCCAGGUAUUGACUUGUGCUAACAAUGAAAGGGAAAUUUCUUAGUGUAAGUUUCCACUCACCAACUUCAAACAGCACAAGCUUGCUCAAUCUUGAAGCCUAAACGGAAUGCUUUACAGAAAAUCAGUGUUCUAACGUAAUUCCUGAGAUUCUUUCCUGCAUUCCAAACAUAGCUAGCCUACAUUGGCACCCAAGAGACAGUCUGCAGAAGGAAAAUGAAUAUGUAGCAACCUGUAUUUCUUUCCACUGAAUGUUCCAAAUGUAUUACGUUUUUCAAAAUCAAAUUAUCAGAUAUUUUCAAGAAGCUCGGGAUCAUCUCAUACUGCUGGAAAGAUUUAGCUUGAAAAAGUUAAAAAAAAAAAAAAAAAAAGAAGAAGAACUUAAAGACUGUUUUCAGGUUUUUUUCAUGAGUCAGGAACAACCUGGAAGUAAAUGGAGAUCUUCAGCCUCUGGUCAGCUGUGAGGACAGACCACCCUGAAGGGUGUGCUCCUACAGUGCUCUCUGUGGCAUGUCAUUUCCUAAUUUCUGUGUAACGUUUCACAUUCAUCUUCCAAGGAUGCAGAGAUAGCCAGGUCAACAAUAUGAUGAAAGCCAGCUGAAAUGGAGGCGUAAGGCUGCCAGGACUCUCCUUCAGCCUGUUUUGUUUGUGCAUAUGAGCAGUCAUCCUCUCCCAUUGCUGAGCAGUUCUCUCCGUAUUUGGAUAAACCAUGGUCCCCAGCAGUUCUUGAGUUUGACCUCUUACAGCUUCUACCCUCAGAGAUGGACUGACUGACUGAUGUGUUCAUGUCUCCUCACGCCCAGAAGUCCUUGGACAGAAAACUCAUUGAUUCAGUGUGAGACUCAAGCUAUGACCAGGGAAAACCAAAAUAUUUUGAAUAAUGGAGUGGGGAAGUAGCCAGUGUUUACAAUCCCCAGUGCUCUUAUAUGGCACAAAGGAUUCAUUGAAGAAUUUUAAGCAGGAUAUUGGCAGAAUCAGAUGUAUUUUAAUAAGCACAUAAUAACUGAAAGCAACAAAUUGGAGCAGGAACUUGCAUCAGCUGGUAAACUUGAAUGUGUUUCCCUUGGGCAUGUCUAUGCUUCACAGAAGAUUAAAGCUCAGAGCAGCAAGGACGUGGGUCCCAAUCUCAGUUUGGGGCCACGAGUCACGUGUCCUGCUGCUUUUUCAUCAGAUGGGCAGAACCUAGUAGGAUACACUUAUUCCUAAUCCCCAGGGGGAAAGAGGUUCUGCUCCCAAGAAGACCCUUUUCUGCCAUCAGUGUUCUAAUUUAAUUCCUGAGAUUCUUUCUUGCCUUCCAAACAUAGCUAGCCUACAUUGGCAUCCAAGGGACAGUUUGCAGAAGGAAAAUGAAUAUGUAACAACCUGUAUUUCUUUCCAGGUGGAUUCUGCUCCCAAGAGACCCUUUACUGCCAUGUGUACUCCUGGCUGUAUGUGAGAGGUUGUGUGUGAGGGAUUUGGGUCGGACUAGCUUCCUUCCUAGAGUGAGGAAAACUGUUUUCAAUUGCACAUGUGGGAACUGCUACGGGGGUAUCUGGAUUUAAAAGACUCUUGUUGGAAACUGCUUGUGCACCUCUUUCCAGAUUGGCCACCUGAGGACUAAAAUCAUUUGUUGGCUGUGUAACUGCUGCAAGUUAGUGUGCUCACUGCUUCCUUCUCAGACUUUGCUUGCUGUUUCUUACCAAUGGCUCACACCUAGCACCCCUGGGAAGAGGACUCUGAAUCAUCUGUGUGCUUGCUGAGCCAGGCAGGCUUCUUAUAUCACUUGGUAGAGUCCAGUUGAAAGGGUAUAAAAAAUAAUAUUUGGAUGACAUGUCCCCCCAAAAGCUCUUUUUUUAAAAAAAAAAAUAUUUUUUAGUUGUCAAUAGAGCUUUUAUUUUAUUUAUUUAUUUAUUUAUAUGAAGCACUGAGGAUUGAACCCAGGGCCUCACACAUGCCAGGCAAGCGCUCUACUACUGAGCCACAACUCCAGCCCCACCAAAAGCUCUUUUUAGAAAGUCACUGAGAAAUUAGGAAUGAUGAAUUUUCAGAGACCAAAAGCUAAGAGAAAGAGAGAACUCAGACAGGCACCAUUUGAGUGGAUAAUGGCUGAGAUCCAUAAAGGACAACUACUCUAGGAUUCAGGAAGCCCACAGUAAAUAAAAGGAAAUCUCUAUGUCUAGCACACUGAAUUGAAUGUGGCCAUAAGCACUUGGCAGCUAUUUCUAGCCCCUUCUAUAUUUUUUAUUUAUAUAUAUUUUUUUCAUGUUGCUAAUCUUAAUGCUAUGGACUCCACUCCCCAGACGGUUUCUCCUUGCCCGACCUGGAUGUGACAUAGGCCCUUCCAGGGCUCUCUCAUGACACACGGAGGCCAGCUGUGAGAUGAGGCCAUCUUCCUGUCACAGUUUCAUCUGGGCAGUAAGGACGUGAUGUGAUCCUGAGAUGUGGUGUUUCAAGGUAGUGGCAGCAACUGGACUCGGCGAUCCAGUGCCUGGCCAACACCAGCAUGUGAAACUCCUGCUGGACUUGGCAACCCUGUCUAGUCCCUCAUCUCACGGGGCUUCCUAACUUAUGAAGCAUGACGCAGGGAGUCCUGCACCUUGCAGCAAUGACAGCCUCUGACAGCAGCUGGUGUGAAGCCUCUCCUGUGCCCCGUGCUCAGCACCUCUCCUCUCUCCCCCCAGAAGGAGGCUGUGGGUGUCCUGUGAGCCAGACUUUCACGGCUGCCAGAGAAGAAGUGGAAAAGCCCCAGUAGGUCGUCUCUCCUGGAGGCACUGGCUCACUCCAGGGCGCAGCAGCCCCCCUCUUCUCUGUCCCUGUCUCACAGGGAACUUUCUGCUCUGGGUGCCUUCCUGGGAAAGGCAGCCACAUCUGCAAGAAGUCAGGAAGCUCUGUGACAAGGAGCGGCUGUGGAGUCUCCUGCCGCUCACCUCCCAGGAGGCCUCCUCAUCUUUGUCCAGGGAGCUCUUGCUAACAAUCAGUCACCCAGACAUUGUUUUUCCUCCUUUUAAUUCAACUUUUUGCUUGAAGAGACUCCAGAAUCUUGACUUCUUACUUUUCUUGCUUCUGGCCUCUCCCUCCAAAUCCACUCUCCAGCAGAAGUUAAUAAUGAAGAUUGUGAUCUAACAAGGGUUGAUACAACUUUUAAAUCUCCUGCUUUCCAGUUUCAGGAUUCUGAGACUCUGAUCAAUGGAUAAUAACUUCAUCCAUUAAAGAACUCCUAGUGUUUAGCUUUUGUGUUUCCUGAGAUAAUUCAGAGAAGCAAAAGUCUUGUCAGUAUUCGCUGCUGUGCACAAAACUCCUGUAGACACCAGAAACCAAGCCAAACUUGAUGCGGCAUUUGAAGUCAGCACUGAGACUUCCAGAUAUCACUCGAGGCGUACCCUCAGGACACAAUCUCCCAAUCAGCAACUGCCGUGCAACAAAUAUAAAGGAAACCACCUCCUCAGUAAGCCAAAUUCCUGGCAUAGUCUUUUCUCUCAGUUUCAAAAUUUCCCAUAUUUUCCUGUCAGUAUCAUUCAUCCAGACAUUUUCCAUCGAAUUAAUGUGAUUUAUUUUCUCUUAAUAAUAUCAUUACACACUCUUUAAGAAUCUACUCUUCUAACAAGAUCAUUCCAGCAGUGAUUUGUCACCAUUUCUCUGACACAUGCUCACUGCGUGUUGCAUAUAGGUGUGCUAAGUUCAGUUUGUUGAAUUUUCAGAACAUUUUAUUUUAAACAAAACAUACCCCUGUCCUUUAUUUCCGUAUCAACAUUAUUCAGUGUCUAAUCUCAUCACAGGAGAAGUGUUGGCUUCCAGGGGCUAACAUUUAAGAUCUUAAUAUGGACCACUGCAGUUGAAAGAUAAGAGUUCAAAUU